GUAAUCGUGGCCGAGUGGUUAAGGCGAUGGACUUGAAAUCCAUUGGGGUCUCCCCGCACAGGUUCAAAUCCUGUCGAUUACG
rnacentral:tRNA from 1 species